ensembl:snRNA U6 U6 spliceosomal RNA
GUGCUCGCUUCGGCAGCACAUAUACUAAAACUGAAACGAUACAGAGAUUAUCAUGGUCCCUGCGCAAGGAUGACACGCAAAUUCAUGAAGUGUUCCAUAUUUUU